rnacentral:tRNA from 1 species
CCCUGGUUGGCUCAGUUGGUAGAGCGCUCCACUUGUAAUGGAGAGGUCCCUGGU